rnacentral:rRNA from 1 species
UGGGGAAUAUUGCACAAUGGGCGCAAGCCUGAUGCAGCCAUGCCGCGUGUAUGAAGAAGGCCUUCGGGUUGUAAAGUACUUUCAGCGGGGAGGAAGGGAGUAAAGUUAAUACCUUUGCUCAUUGACGUUACCCGCAGAAGAAGCACCGGCUAACUCCGUGCCAGCAGCCGCGGUAAUACGGAGGGUGCAAGCGUUAAUCGGAAUUACUGGGCGUAAAGCGCACGCAGGCGGUUUGUUAAGUCAGAUGUGAAAUCCCCGGGCUCAACCUGGGAACUGCAUCUGAUACUGGCAAGCUUGAGUCUCGUAGAGGGGGGUAGAAUUCCAGGUGUAGCGGUGAAAUGCGUAGAGAUCUGGAGGAAUACCGGUGGCGAAGGCGGCCCCCUGGACGAAGACUGACGCUCAGGUGCGAAAGCGUGGGGAGAAAACAGG